UACGGAGGGGGCUAGCGUUGUUCGGAAUUACUGGGCGUGAAGCGCGCGUAGGCGGACCUGCAAGUCGGGGGUGAAAGCCCGAGGCUCAACCUCGGAACUGCCUCCGAUACUGCGGGUCUCGAGUCCGGGAGAGGUGAGUGGAAUUCCUAGUGUAGAGGUGAAAUUCGUAGAUAUUAGGAAGAACACCAGUGGCGAAGGCGGCUCAGCUGGCCCGGUACUGAUGCGUGAGGCGCGAAAGCGUGGGGAGCAAACAGG
rnacentral:rRNA from 1 species